rnacentral:rRNA from 1 species
UACGUAGGGGGCGAGCGUUGUCCGGAUUUAUUGGGCGUAAAGGGCGUGUAGGUGGUCUGUUAAGUCAUGUGUGAAAGCCCUCAGCUCAACUGGGGAAGUGCGCAUGAAACUGACAGGCUAGAGUACCGAAGAGGAAGGUGGAAUUCCCGGUGUAGCGGUGAAAUGCGCAGAUAUCAGGAGGAACACCGGUGGCGAAGGCGGGUCUCUGGGCCAUAACUGACGCUGAGGAGCGAAAGCGUGGGGAGCGAACAGG